UACACUGAUUUUUAAGUUGAUCAGUGUAGUAGGAGGAUGAAUUGGAGAGAGAGGAUGGCGCCAAAAUGAUGGCAUGAUUUUGGCGCCAAUAAUGGAGCGAAGCAGCAUGAUUGCAGAGUUUCCACGACUGAAAUUGGCUUAUGAUGAUGCAUUGUUGGGGGUGGGCGAUGUAUGUUUAUUUUCAGACAAUAUUGGCUAUUGGAUUCUUUUCCUUAAACCAGUCA